rnacentral:lncRNA from 1 species
UCCAUGUUGGGCUGGAGCUUGAGCUCCCUGUCCAUGGCCUCGAACGCGUUGGCGCAGGCCUCCCGCCACUCGUCCAGCAGCUGCGCCGGCGACGGCGACGAGCCGCCGCCGCUGCCGUCCGUCGACGACGACGGCGACGCGUCGCUGAAGGCCGGGUCGCCGUCGUCGUCGUCGCCGGCGCCCAGGAGGAGCGCGUUCCGGUGGCUGAGGAUCAUGAAGGGGAGGUAGUCCCGCACCAGCUUGCUCACGUACUGACCGCACCGGCCGUGCCCGUCGAAGACGCCGCAGAACAC